UGGGGGAUAUUGCACAAUGGGCGAAAGCCUGAUGCAGCGACGCCGCGUGGGGGAUGAAGGCUUUCGGGUUGUAAACCUCUUUCGCUAUCGAACAAGGCCCGCUUAGGGUGGGUUGAGGGUAGGUGGAGAAGAAGCGCCGGCUAACUACGUGCCAGCAGCCGCGGUAAUACGUAGGGCGCGAGCGUUGUCCGGAAUUAUUGGGCGUAAAGGGCUUGUAGGCGGCUUGUUGCGCCUGCUGUGAAAACGCGGGGCUUAACUUCGCGCGUGCAGUGGGUACGGGCAGGCUUGAGUGUGGUAGGGGUGACUGGAAUUCCAGGUGUAGCGGUGGAAUGGGCAGAUAUCUGGAGGAACACCGAUGGGGAAGGCAGGUCACUGGGCCAUUACUGACGCUGAGGAGCGAAAGCAUGGGUAGCGAACAGG
rnacentral:rRNA from 1 species